rnacentral:rRNA from 2 species
AUACAUGCAAGUCGAGCGAAUCAAUAGGAGCUUGCUCCUGUUGGUUAGCGGCGGACGGGUGAGUAACACGUGGGCAACCUGCCUGUAAGACUGGGAUAACACCGGGAAACCGGUGCUAAUACCGGAUAAUCCUUUUCCUCACAUGAGGGAAAGCUGAAAGUCGGUUUCGGCUGACACUUACAGAUGGGCCCGCGGCGCAUUAGCUAGUUGGUGAGGUAACGGCUCACCAAGGCGACGAUGCGUAGCCGACCUGAGAGGGUGAUCGGCCACACUGGGACUGAGACACGGCCCAGACUCCUACGGGAGGCAGCAGUAGGGAAUCUUCCACAAUGGACGAAAGUCUGAUGGAGCAACGCCGCGUGAGCGAUGAAGGCCUUCGGGUCGUAAAGCUCUGUUGUUAGGGAAGAACAAGUACCGGAGUAACUGCCGGUACCUUGACGGUACCUAACCAGAAAGCCACGGCUAACUACGUGCCAGCAGCCGCGGUAAUACGUAGGUGGCAAGCGUUGUCCGGAAUUAUUGGGCGUAAAGCGCGCGCAGGCGGUCCUUUAAGUCUGAUGUGAAAGCCCACGGCUCAACCGUGGAGGGUCAUUGGAAACUGGGGGACUUGAGUGCAGAAGAGGAAAGCGGAAUUCCACGUGUAGCGGUGAAAUGCGUAGAGAUGUGGAGGAACACCAGUGGCGAAGGCGGCUUUCUGGUCUGUAACUGACGCUGAGGCGCGAAAG